UGAGACAGUGGUAGGCAGGGCAGG
rnacentral:piRNA from 1 species